UUUAAAAUCGCUAGGAAAAAAAACUUUAAAACUUUUGCAAAUAUUAGCGAUUAAAACUUAUUUUGGAUAAUUUACAGCUGGCUGGACCAGAAACGAGUCGAAGCUCAAGUCGAGAGAGAUAAGCAUCAAUGGGAACUCUCUAGUCAAAGUCAAUAAACAAACACAAAAAUGCUUCACCAUAACGUUCUUGUUUCCUAUCAUCGAGUUCAUAGGCAUAAUCUCUGUCAUCGGCAUUCCCAAGAAUUAUAUUAGAACUUGAAAAAGAAUAUGCCGUCACAAAAAUUAAGAAAAAUUAUUUUAUGACAGAAAAUUAUUAGUAAAAAAUUUAAUGGACACAAGACAUAUAUUA